AUUUCAUUUCAAAUUUCAAAAAACAACUUCCCUUCGCAGCUUCUCUCUCAUUUCUAAAUUUCUUCAUCUUUCUUCUCAACGGCAACUAUCUCCCUCCUCUUCCCCCUCUCUCCGCCUCCCCUUCUCUCUCGAUCUCUUGUCUCCUUCGUCUUCCUCAGAAUCUUCACUCUUCCUUUCUCUCAAUUUCUAUUCUCUAAAAUGAAGCAUCCACCCAAGAAACCCUAUCUUGCUAAAUACCCAUCUCGCCGAUCCACUGCCAUUUUCUAUUCCAUGCGCUAACGGCGCCGGAAUCAAGGGCGGAAGACCCCUCGGAAGCCUAUGUCGUCUUCCAAAGAAAAUGCUUCACCGUCAGAUCCCAAAUUCCCAACUCCAUGGUUCCCGAUUCCAAACCCUCGCCGACUAAGUUGAAGAGCCUGCUCCAUCUUCUAACCCACUUAAGCGGAAGCUCAGUAUGGAGACCGUUCCUGAGAAUUCCAUCCCUGGGUUGUCUGAUUCUGUUGUUAAGAUUAGAGAAGAUGUAAAAUCUGGUGUAGAAAAUUUAACAGAGGAGUGUGUAUCCACAAUGGCAGCCGUUACUCGGCUUCUAAUGAAGUCGAUUAUGGUGGCUCACUUUGGAAACUUGUUACAUAGCUACUGCCAAAAGCUUUAAAUUGCCUUCCGGAUGCACCUCAAAAUCAGCUUCAUUCUUUGUGUUUUCUAAUUUCUAGCUCACUCAAUUCAGCCAUGGAUGUACGGAGAUAUUCCAAAUUUUAUAAUGCAAAACCUGAUGAAGCCGAUGAUGGUGUUUGCACAAGAGCUUGGAGAUUCUUUUUAUCUUACUUCACAAUUGACGUUCUUUCAGUUCUUCCACUCCCCCAGCCAUGCAGGGUUUACAGAAAGAUUUGAACUUUUCAUUUGUGGUCGUGAGCUGGCCAAUGCAUUUUUCGAAUUGAUCGAUCGUAUUUAUCAGGUAAGAGGUGAUUAUAUCAAUCAUUAAUGUUAGAAGGGUGCACAGAUGAUGAAACUUUUUAGCCAAUUUCAUGGCAUUUGAAAGAGAGAAAGUACAUUAGUAUUGAACUCAAGUUAAACUGGAUAGUCUAUCACCUUUUGGAAGAUAACUUUCCUGUACUUUGUUCCAUCUUGUAUAGACCCUUUCAGUCGAAAGGUUACCAAAGGAAUCGUUUUUGUUAUGUGUUAUGUGCUUAACUCCAUAACAAUGUGCGUCCAAGCUCUACAUGAGCAUUCUAUUCUUCUUGCUUGGUAUACUUGUGCAUUAUUGGUUUAUGUGCCAUGUCAAGAAAUAAUAGUUUCUAUUGGAACGUUUUAGUGUUCCGGUUCCAUGAUAAUUGGAAUGGUUGUAAUGAUCUUUUUCUUUUAAAACAAACAAAAUUGGCACAGAGGAUGAUUAGAAGACCAGAUCAGGCAACACAAUGAGAAGCAUGGCUCAGCUGUUUCUUAUGUAUCUCGUUUCUUAUGUAAUGACUCUUUGGACUUCAAUUGCCAAAAAGAUGAGGAUGAUUCUUAUGAAGUGACACUUGAUGAUGAUUUUCUUACUGCUUUGGAAUAUGGAAUGCCACCAGCUUCUGGACUGAUGUAGGCUGGAAAAGGAGGUGAGCUAACAUUGAAUAGAAGAACCAUAACAAGAGGGGCACUGGAUUCAUUGAGAAAUGGGCGAGAGAUUCCAUGGCUCCCAUUUCUUUAACUUUUGCAAUCGAUAGUAAUGUCGAUCUUGACAGGAAUGUUGGAAUGAAGAUUUAGGAAUUAAUUCCUCUUUCUUAGAAGAAUCUAAAUCUAUACAAAGGUCUUCUUUUUUGUUUCCAAUCAUCUGAGGUAAUCUUGUAGGUUCUUUAAUUCUUGGUGGAAAUUCUAGACUACCUGAGGUAAUUUUUGCUUUCUUAAUAGUUUUUGUUGCAUGUUUUCAUGCCAUUCUUGAAAAUCUUGAGGUUGUUCUUGAUUGUUCCCAUGUUUGGUUUAGGUUUGUUUUGAACACCUUUUAGGUUUGUUUGAGACUCAAUUUGUUGCAUCUACACACUUAAUUGCUAUUUUGG